rnacentral:lncRNA from 1 species
AUAUUGGAGAAAGGAUAGCUUUAUGAUUUUAAAACCCUUUGCUAACUGUGUGGUGACUACAGAUUGGGGGGCCCAUUAUCCCUGAGGUCUCUUACAGUUCUCAACAUUCUAUAAGUCUAGAUAUUUAUAAAUCCUAAAUGAUCUUUCCUCUGAAAAAGGGUUUUGGCCUUAAAAACAACAAAGAGAAAGCCCAUUGAGAUCUGUCAUUUCAAGAGAAUUCCCUAAUGUUCCCUUUUAAAUUAUGAUGCUAAAAUGAUCCUCCCCAGAGAUAGCUGGAAGCAAUUUGCUACCUAAAUCAGGAAAGCAAACACUCCACCUUGCCAAGUCUGAUUGAGUCGUGGGCAUCAUAAUGCCUGUGGCAGGUGAGUCAGAUCAUAAAGCUGCUUCUGUUAGAUAACAGGCUCCUCUAAGAGGUCCAGGCCAGCAGCAACCAAGAUGUAGAGUAGUUCUCCUCAGGGUGGUCCAUGGAUUCAGGGACAGUGAUUCAGUCAAGUCAUUCUGCUGCUUGGCCCUUUGACUCCUUGAGUAAGCAUUAGACAUCACUAAGCAUGACAAAAAUAUUCAUUUGUGGAAAUUGCUUGGCUUGGGGAAAUGAAUAUCCAUUAAAAAGCAAGAAAAUUAUUAUGGACUUGGUUAGCACUGGGAUGGAGAGUUUGGAACCUCUAAAUACAAAUGAUUCUUCUAAUUUUAGUGUACUCUUCUGAGAGAAAUGGGAUUGGGGGUAAGGAAAAGUUUCAGACAAUAUGGAGGUAAGUAAAUGACAAAAAGGUUAAUAACAGAUUCCAAUUUACUAUGGCUUAACCCUCAAGUCUAGUUUCUCAUUCCAGUCUAUUUCACCUCAGACUACUAGCUCUCUUGACCUCAUUAAUAGAAUCAUGAAUUUUUAAAGCUCAAAGGUACAUGAUACAUUAUCUAGUCCUCAUAGGAUAACAGAAUUUGGGGAGCCUGACACUAGAGAUCAUCUCAUCUGUAAGGGGUAAAAGUAGGGGGUUUUGACUAAUAUAUUAUCCUUAUGGUCGCCAGGGAUUAAUUCAAAACCCAAUAAAAAUACUUAAGUCAGUUUGGGAAUUUUAUUG